GACGAACGCUGGCGGCGUGCUUAACACAUGCAAGUCGAGCGGUAAGGCCCUUUCGGGGUACGACGAGCGGCGAACGGGUGAGUAACACGUGGGUGACCUGCCCUUACGCUCUGGGAGUAAGCCUGGGAAACGUGGGUCGUAAUACCGGAUAUGACUCCAUGACGCAUGUUGUGGGGUGGAAAGCCUUGUGCGGCUAGGAUGGCCCGCGCUAUCAGCUUGUUGGUGGGGUGAUGGCCACCAAGGCGACGACGGGUAGCCGGCCUGAGAGGGCGACCGGCC
rnacentral:rRNA from 1 species